UACGUAGGGUGCGAGCGUUAAUCGGAAUUACUGGGCGUAAAGGGUGCGCAGGUGGUUAUUUAAGACAGAUGUGAAAUCCCCGGGCUCAACCUGGGAACUGCGUUUGUGACUGAAUAGCUAGAGUGCGGCAGAGGGGGGUAGAAUUCCACGUGUAGCAGUGAAAUGCGUAGAGAUGUGGAGGAAUACCGAUGGCGAAGGCAGCCCCCUGGGUCAGCACUGACGCUCAUGCACGAAAGCGUGGGGAGCAAACAGGAUUAGAUACCCUGGUAGUCCACGCCCUAAACGAUGUCAACUAGGUGUUGGGGAAGGAGACUUUCUUAGUACCGCAGCUAACGCGUGAAGUUGACCGCCUGGGGAGUACGGUCGCAAGAUUA
rnacentral:rRNA from 1 species